GACGAACGCUGGCGGCGUGCUUAACACAUGCAAGUCGAACGAAGAGCGAUGGAAGCUUGCUUCUAUCAAUCUUAGUGGCGAACGGGUGAGUAACGCGUAAUCAACCUGCCCUUCAGAGGGGGACAACAGUUGGAAACGACUGCUAAUACCGCAUACGAUCUAAUCUCGGCAUCGAGGAUAGAUGAAAGGUGGCCUCUACAUGUAAGCUAUCGCUGAAGGAGGGGAUUGCGUCUGAUUAGCUAGUUGGGGGGGUAACGGCCCACCAAGGCGAUGCUCAGUAGCCGGUCUGGGGGGAGUGACGGCCACAAUGGGACUGAGACACGGCCCCGACUCCUACGGGAGGCAGCAGUGGGGGAUCUUCCGCAAUGGACGAAAGGCUGGCGGAGCAACGCCGCGUGGGUGAUGACGGCCUUCGGGUUGUAAAGCUCUGUUAAUCGGGACGAAAGGCCUUCUUGCGAAUAGUGAGAAGGAUUGACGGUACCGGAAUAGAAAGCCACGGCUAACUACGUG
rnacentral:rRNA from 1 species